ensembl:misc_RNA 7SK 7SK RNA
GGAUGUGAGGGCGAUCUGGCUGCGACAUCUGUCACCCCAUUGAUCGCCAGGGUUGAUUCGGCUGAUCUGGCUGGCUAGGCGGGUGUCCCCCUCCUCCCUCACCGAUCCAUGUGCGUCCCUCCCGAAGCUGCACGCUCGGUCGAAGAGGACGACCUUCCCCCCCCCCCCCCAGGAGAGGACCGGUCUUCGGUCAAGGGUAUACGAGUAGCUGCGCUCCCCUGCUAGAACCUCCAAACAAGCUCUCAAGAGCCAGAUAUUAGAAAGUCAAGGAGGCAGGACUCAUUUAGCAGUAAAAAUCUAAAUAGCCUUCUUGGCAGAAUUU